CAGUAGCCGCGGUAAUACAGAGGGUGCGAGCGUUAAUCGGAUUUACUGGGCGUAAAGCGUGCGUAGGCGGCUUCUUAAGUCGGAUGUGAAAUCCCUGAGCUUAACUUAGGAAUUGCAUUCGAUACUGGGAAGCUAGAGUAUGGGAGAGGAUGGUAGAAUUCCAGGUGUAGCGGUGAAAUGCGUAGAGAUCUGGAGGAAUACCGAUGGCGAAGGCAGCCAUCUGGCCUAAUACUGACGCUGAGGUACGAAAGCAUGGGGAGCAAACAGGAUUAGAUACCCCGGUAGUCCAUGUCUCUUAUAA
rnacentral:rRNA from 1 species